rnacentral:rRNA from 1 species
CGCGCAGGCGGUUUUAUUAGUCAGAUGUGAAAGCCCACGGCUUAACCGUGGAAGUGCAUUUGAAACUGUAAGACUUGAGUAUCAGAGGGGAAAGUGGAAUUCCCGGUGUAGAGGUGAAAUUCGUAGAUAUCGGGAGGAAUACCGGUGGCGAAGGCGACUUUCUGGCUGAAUACUGACGCUGAGGCGCGAAAGCUAGGGGAGCAAACAGGAUUAGAUACCCUGGUAGUCC